rnacentral:rRNA from 1 species
GGGGGAGUGGCGGCUGCUAUACAUGCAGUCGACGAGUUCUCGUUGAUGAUCGGUGCUUGCACCGAGAUUCAACAUGGAACGAGUGGCGGACGGGUGAGUAACACGUGGGUAACCUGCCCUUAAGUGGGGGAUAACAUUUGGAAACAGAUGCUAAUACCGCAUAGAUCCAAGAACCGCAUGGUUCUUGGCUGAAAGAUGGCGUAAGCUAUCGCUUUUGGAUGGACCCGCGGCGUAUUAGCUAGUUGGUGAGGUAAUGGCUCACCAAGGCGAUGAUACGUAGCCGAACUGAGAGGUUGAUCGGCCACAUUGGGACUGAGACACGGCCCAAACUCCUACGGGAGGCAGCAGUAGGGAAUCUUCCACAAUGGACGCAAGUCUGAUGGAGCAACGCCGCGUGAGUGAAGAAGGCUUUCGGGUCGUAAAACUCUGUUGUUGGAGAAGAAUGGUCGGCAGAGUAACUGUUGUCGGCGUGACGGUAUCCAACCAGAAAGCCACGGCUAACUACGUGCCAGCAGCCGCGGUAAUACGUAGGUGGCAAGCGUUAUCCGGAUUUAUUGGGCGUAAAGCGAGCGCAGGCGGUUUUUUAAGUCUGAUGUGAAAGCCCUCGGCUUAACCGAGGAAGCGCAUCGGAAACUGGGAAACUUGAGUGCAGAAGAGGACAGUGGAACUCCAUGUGUAGCGGUGAAAUGCGUAGAUAUAUGGAAGAACACCAGUGGCGAAGGCGGCUGUCUGGUCUGUAACUGACGCUGAGGCUCGAAAGCAUGGGUAGCGAACAGGAUUAGAUACCCUGGUAGUCCAUGCCGUAAACGAUGAAUGCUAGGUGUUGGAGGGUUUCCGCCCUUCAGUGCCGCAGCUAACGCAUUAAGCAUUCCGCCUGGGGAGUACGACCGCAAGGUUGAAACUCAGAGGAAUUGACGGGGGCCCGCACAAGCGGUGGAGCAUGUGGUUUAAUUCGAAGCAACGCGAAGAACCUUACCAGGUCUUGACAUCUUUUGAUCACCUGAGAGAUCAGGUUUCCCCUUCGGGGGCAAAAUGACAGGUGGUGCAUGGUUGUCGUCAGCUCGUGUCGUGAGAUGUUGGGUUAAGUCCCGCAACGAGCGCAACCCUUAUGACUAGUUGCCAGCAUUUAGUUGGGGCCUUCUAGUAAGAAUGCCGGGGA